CCUACGGGUGGCUGCAGUGAGGAAUAUUGGUCAAUGGCCGAGAGGCUGAACCAGCCAAGCCGCGUGAGGGAAGAAUGUCCUAUGGAUUGUAAACCUCUUUUGUCAGGGAGCAAAGUCACCCACGUGUGGGUGUUGGAGAGUACCUGAAGAAAAAGCAUCGGCUAACUCCGUGCCAGCAGCCGCGGUAAUACGGAGGAUGCGGGCGUUAUCGGGAUUUAUUGGGGUAAAAGGAUGCCUAGGCGGGUGAUCAAGUCAGCGGUAAAAUCGUGGAGCUCAACUCCAUCCAGCCGUUGAAACUGAUGAUCUUGAGUGGGCGAGAGGUAUGCGGAAUGCGUGGUGUAGCGGUGAAAUGCAUAGAUAUCACGCAGAACUUCGAUUGCGAAGGCAGCAUACCGGCGCCCGACUGACGCUGAAGCACGAAAGCGUGGGUAGCGAACAGGAUUAGAUACCCCGGUAGUC
rnacentral:rRNA from 1 species